rnacentral:rRNA from 1 species
GGCCUACCAAGGCGGCGACGGGUAGCCGGCCUGAGAGGGUGACCGGCCACAUUGGGACUGAGAUACGGCCCAGACUCCUACGGGAGGCAGCAGUGGGGAAUAUUGCACAAUGGGCGCAAGCCUGAUGCAGCAACGCCGCGUGCGGGAUGACGGCCUUCGGGUUGUAAACCGCUUUCAGCAGGGACGAAGCUUUUUGUGACGGUACCUGCAGAAGAAGCACCGGCUAACUACGUGCCAGCAGCCGCGGUGAUACGUAGGGUGCGAGCGUUGUCCGGAUUUAUUGGGCGUAAAGGGCUCGUAGGCGGUUGAUCGCGUCGGAAGUGGAAACUUGAUGCUUAACGUUGAGCGUGCUUUCGAUACGGGUUGACUUGAGGAAGGUAGGGGAGAAUGGAAUUCCUGGUGGAGCGGUGGAAUGCGCAGAUAUCAGGAGGAACACCAGUGGCGAAGGCGGUUCUCUGGACCUUUCCUGACGCUGAGGAGCGAAAGCGUGGGGAGCGAACAGGCUUAGAUACCCUGGUAGUCCACGCUGUAAACGGUGGGUACUAGGUGUGGGGUCCAUUCCACGGAUUCUGUGCCGUAGCUAACGCAUUAAGUACCCCGCCUGGGGAGUACGGCCGCAAGGCUAAAACUCAAAGGAAUUGACGGGGCCCCGCACAAGCGGCGGAGCAUGCGGAUUAAUUCGAUGCAACGCGAAGAACCUUACCUGGGUUUGACAUGGAUCGGGAGCUUCCAGAGAUGGUUGUGCCUCUUUUGGGGUCGGUUCACAGGUGGUGCAUGGCUGUCGUCA